AGAGUUUGAUCCUGGCUCAGGACGAACGCUGGCGGCGUGCUUAACACAUGCAAGUCGUGGGCACCAGCAAUGGUGACCGGCGAACGGGUGCGUAACACGUGAACGACCUACCGAUUUGUGGGGGAUAGCCGGCCCAACGGCCGGGUAAUACCGCAUAUACCACAGGAGCUGCAUGGUUCUUGUGGGAAACCUCAGGGGCA
rnacentral:rRNA from 1 species